AAGGAAUAUUGGUCAAUGGUGGGAACACUGAACCAGCCAUCCCGCGUGCAGGACGAAGGCCCUCUGGGUUGUAAACUGCUUUUACCAGGAAAGAAACGAGCGGAUUCAUCUGCUCCUGACGGUACCUGGGGAAUAAGCACCGGCUAACUCCGUGCCAGCAGCCGCGGUAAUACGGAGGGUGCAAGCGUUAUCCGGAAUCACUGGGUUUAAAGGGUGCGUAGGCGGCUUGGUAAGUCAGGGGUGAAAGCUUCCCGCUCAACGGGAGAACUGCCCUUGAUACUGCCUGGCUCGAAUUGGGUUGAGGCUGGCGGAAUGUGGCAUGUAGCGGUGAAAUGCUUAGAUAUGCCAUAGAACACCGAUUGCGAAGGCAGCCAGCCAAGCCUUGAUUGACGCUGAGGCACGAAAGCGUGGGGAGCGAAC
rnacentral:rRNA from 1 species